rnacentral:rRNA from 1 species
UACGAAGGGGGCUAGCGUUGCUCGGAAUUACUGGGCGUAAAGCGCACGUAGGCGGUCUUUUAAGUCGGGGGUGAAAUCCUGGAGCUCAACUCCAGAACUGCCUUCGAUACUGGGAGACUUGAGUCCGGGAGAGGUGAGUGGAACUGCGAGUGUAGAGGUGAAAUGCGCAGAGAUCGGGAGGAACACCAAUGGCGAAAGCAGGUACCUGGACCAUUACUGACACUCAGCUGCGAAAGCUAGGGGAGCAAACAGG